UGAAUGCCUGAUCAACCAUAAUGAACAGUAUCCAAAUGUACCCAAAAAAAUGAUUUUACAACAAUCUAUUUUCCGAUUAUAUACCAAAAAAUAUUAUCGCUUUUAAUAAACUAUGUUCUUAAAAAUACAUAUAACAACAUUUUUCUUGUAGAUCUGUCAAGCUCUACCAUAUCUUCUGUACAUAAACCUUUGAAAAGAAAGACUAUCCAUCAACAACGUCCAUUGUUUGUAACAAAAAUCUAUUAUUUAUAAGAGAAAUCAAAAUGUUAGUAGUAUCGCAAGAAAAAAACAAUUGACACGUGAUUACUUGAAUACGAUUUAAGAAUUAUAAAAUACACAUAACUGUGUUAACUUUUCUCCAUCCUCGUCUUGUUGUUGAAUGAACACGUUUCCAUUCAAUAGCAUUGUCAUCCCAAGACUGCAAAGAUUAAAAUGAAUCAUUUAGUUAUAUGUCUUUUAAAAAAUGAAUUUCAACUCUUAUAAGUCUUAGGCUUCAAAUUAAUAUUUAUGGGUUCGUGGGAGCUCAAUCCAUGAAAUCUUUCUUUGCAGCUUGUACUUCGUUCAUACACCAUUACUCUUUUAUGAUAUAUGCAAUUAUGUAUGCAUGAAGUAAAAGAAAACUAAUUUUUUUAAAUUUUGACGAACUAUUGAGCUCCUGUCUUCACAUAUAGUAUUUUUUAUUUCACAUCAUUUUCAUUUAUUUAUUUUGAAGAAUAUUAAUGAAGGUUUUAUAUCCACAAUGUAAAUGAACAAACUUCCAUUUUUUGUCUAGAAGAGUUAUGGGACCAUUUUAAAUACUAAAAUUUCUAAUUCUUAUAUCCUAUUGACUUAAACAACCAUUAGUGUACAUAAUAAAUCAAAGAAAAAGAUACCCAAAAAGCUCAGGCGCUAAGAAAGCUCACAUUACAGUACUACAUUUUCCAAUCUUAAGGGUAGACCUUGAACAAAUAAACAGAAACAGACAAACUCUCUACUCAACAAUCCUAGUAAAGCAAAGCAAGUGAUUUAAAAUGUCACUUCCUUCAAAUUUUCAAAUUUCUCACAAAUCAAAUUAUGAUGGAAAUAACCUGCAAAUAUUAAGUUUUAAUACUGAUAACAAACAGAAUAAAUGGAUCUAUGUCAAAGAAUCUAAGAAGUUGAAAAUCCAAUUACUCAUAGGAGACUCAGUCGACAAACACGCCAUGCACCAAAACAUCUUGAAUUGGACAGAUAAAUCAGAUCCGCGAAUUCAGAAAAACUCUGGCUAAUCGUCCCAAACGAACUUUAAAGAUCUACCAAGCCCAACCUUAAAAGUCGAAAACGAAGAAAUUUCUUCACAAACCUCAAAUUUGGAGAAAUUGGAUCGAUUGCUCCAAGGGUUAGAUAGAGAGAAAGGUAGCAAAAGAGAGAUGCAAAUGAAUUUUGUAAAAUUGUAAUAUACAUAUUGAUGGAUCAUUCAGGCAUCAUGCAGUUUAAUAAAUUUUCAAAAAAUAAGAUGGAUGUGAGCAUAAAAGGGACAAAUAGCUCAAAAAAAUAAGAUGGAUGGAUCAUCCAGGCAUCAUGCGGACUAAUACAUUCAAUCGUUUAGUUAUAUCUCCAAUAACAUGUUCCGAAAAAAGGGCGGUCAACAGAUGAAUUUGAUAACUUUUCGGCUUUCCAAUGCAAUGUUGAGCAAUGAGAACACUAUAUAUUCAUUUUAUCGAGGUAGUGUCUCCCUAAAAUAGGAUGCGGCCGAGGGCCUAUAUUUGUAGGCAAUGCCUCCUUUUGUACGCAAGCUUCAUCAAGGAUUGACUGAAUAAUUGGUAAUAACCUAGAAAAUAAAUGAUUUUAUUUCAAAAUAAUUCACAUAUAUCGUAACACUCCUUAUGGUAUAUAAUUAUAAAUAAUUUGCAUUGAACUAACCCAAAGUUGGUGAUGUAGGCAUGGAAGAUGAUAUAAUGUUACGGGAGUCAUGUUUAUGUUCCAUAUUAUUUGGUGGAAGAAGAAUUUCUUCACCCCUUGAAUUUGAGUUAGUUGAAUGAUGAAUAUUAGUUAGUUGAAUUUGAGUUGGUGGAAGAAGGAUGAAGAAUUUGAGUCAGUUUGAUUUUUGGCACCAAAACAGUCCACUUCUAAGCUUUCUUUGUCUUAAAGAAAACAUGGAAUAAUAAUAUAGAUAACACAUAAUAUCAUGAUGAACAUGGACUGAUUUUGACAUAGUGUAUAUGAUUGAGUUUUAUUUCCAUCAUAUAUAUAUCCGGAUGACUUAUAGAUAACAUCAAGCAAACCGUCACCGAGCUACUUGGCUAGCAUACAAACAUCCUAAAACAGUCAUUAUACUUAGUCAUAUAAAGCAUGUGUUAGCAACAUUACACAAAAACAGACCCUCAUCUUGGCAUAUUCUCAAACAGGUAGGGUGCAGUCCAAAUAUUCACACAUAGUACAUGUAUUCCUAACUCUUUGUUCCCAGCCUUAUGGCAUUAAAAUCAUAACCAAAACAGCCACCUUAUAUUAUCAACAUAGCCACAAUGAUAAUCUUUAAUCAAAUAUAAACACCACCUUAAAAAUCAACAUAGCAGUCCAUAUAAUUUCCAAGUUAUCCAACCAAUUACCACCCAAGAAUAAAUACCAGAAGAACAAAAGAUGCACUGAAGAAAAGGAUUACCUUGGAUUAGGACAACGCCAAUCGUCAUCCCUGCCACUUCCACCAUCACUACCACGACCACCUCUUACUUAGUAUCCUUCUCCUGCCCCUCCUCUACCACCACGAUCCCCUCCUUGAUAUCCACCACCUCCUGCAAACAUGGACAUGAAAUAAUAGUUGAUGAGCAACAUAUUGCAAAAUAGUUAACAAUUAUAGUUUCAAAUUGGUUAUUACUUUAAUAAAAGAAUAUUUAUGAACUACACUUAUGGAUGUUUGUAUAAACAAUACUUUAAAUGUGUUGUCGAGAUUAGUCCGUGAUGUUUAAUAUUAAUCAUUUGUAAAUAUAGUUUAUUUUAUCAUCAGUAAUAAACAUUGAAUCAACUAAUACAUAUCAGAAC
rnacentral:lncRNA from 1 species